rnacentral:rRNA from 1 species
AUUGUGGACCGAUGGAGGGACGGCGUCUGAAUGGUCAGCGGUACGACUAGAAGCGUCCGUGGACUCUUAUAAGGUGUGGGAUAGGCAAAUCCGCCCACAUAAGCCAAGUAAGGGGACCGACUGCAUUUAUGUUCAGGAAGUGAUCUGAAAGACGUCCAAGAAAAGCUUCUAAGGGUUGAAGCAAUGUGACCGUACUAAAACUGACACAGGUAGGCGAGACGAGUAGUCUAAGGCGCUCGGGAUAACGGUGGUUAAGGAACUCUGCAAAUUGACCCCGUAAGUUCGCGAUAAGGGGUGCCUUCUGGGGUGAAAGCUCUGGGAGGCCGCAGUGAAUCGGCUUUGGCGACUGUUUAUCAAAAACACAGGACUCUGCUAACACGCAAGUGGAUGUAUAGAGUCUGACGCCUGCCCGGUGCUGGUAGGUUAAGGAAGCGGGUUAGCCCUUCGGGGUGAAGCUCUCAACCGAAGCCCCAGUAAACGGCGGCCGUAACUAUGACGGUCCUAAGGUAGCGAAGUUCCUUGUCGGGUAAGUUCCGACCUGCAUGAAUGGCGUAACGACUGGAGCACUGUCUCAACCACCGACCCGGUGAAAUUGUAGUCGUGGUGAAGAUGCCACGUACCCGCGGUUAGACGGAAAGACCCCGUGAACCUUUACUGUAGGCUGAUAUUGGGCUGAGGUAUGUUUUGUGUAGGAUAGGUGGGAGGCUAUGAAGUGGUAGCGCUAGCUAUCAUGGAGCCAUCCUUGAAAUACCACCCUGAAUAUGCUUUAGUUCUAACGCUGAACCCGUGAAUCCGGGCAGCGGACAUUGUCAGUUGGGCAGUUUGACUGGGGCGGUCUCCUCCCAAAGAGUAACGGAGGAGUGCAAAGGUACCCUCAGCCUGGUCGGCGACCAGGCGUAGAGCGUAAAGGUAGAAGGGUGCUUGACUGCGAGACUUAUCAGUCGAGCAGGAACGAAAGUUGGCCUUAGUGAUCCGGUGGUUCCGAAUGGAAGGGCCAUCGCUCAUCAGAUAAAAGGUACUCCGGGGAUAACAGGCUUAUCGCUUCCGAGCGUCCGUAGCGGCGAAGCGGUUUGGCACCUCGAUGUCGGCUCAUCACAUCCUGGGGGUGAAGAAGCUCCCAAGGGUUUGGCUGUUCGCCAAUGAAAGUGGUACGUGAGCUGGGUUCAGACCGUCGUGAGACAGGUCGGUCCCUAUCUGCCGUGGGCGUACGAAACUUGAAGGGGUUCAACUUUAGUACGAGAGGAUUUAGUUGGACGUAGCUCUGGUGUACCAGUUGUCGCGCUAGCGGCACGGCUGGAUAGCUAACUACGGAAAAGAUAAACGCUGAAAGCAUCUAAGCGUGAAGCUCUCCCUGAGAUGAGGUUUCGUUUCCCAAUUUGGGAUGAAGUCCCCUGGAAGACGACCAGGUUGAUAGGCCAGAUGUGUAAGCAUGGUAACAUGUUCAGCUAACUGGUACUAACGGACAAACGCUUGACC